UACGUAGGGGGCGAGCGUUGUCCGGAAUUAUUGGGCGUAAAGAGCUCGUAGGCGGUCCUUUAAGUCGGAAGUGAAAUCUCAGGGCUCAACCCUGAAAUUGCUUUCGAUACUGGCGGACUUGAGGCAAGUAGGGGAGAGCGGAAUUCCUGGUGUAGCGGUGAAAUGCGCAGAUAUCAGGAGGAACACCGGUGGCGAAGGCGGCUCUCUGGGCUUGUUCUGACGCUGAGGAGCGAAAGCGUGGGGAGCGAACAGGAUUAGAAACCCCCGUAGUCC
rnacentral:rRNA from 1 species